UUAAGUUCAGCGGGUAUUCCUACCUGAUCCGAGGUCAACCUUGUAAAAUGGGGUGUUUUACGGCCGGCAUGCGCCCCGCGCCCGGAACGAGAAGUAACUACUGCGUUCGGUCGUGGGACGCACCCGCCGCUGUCUUUCGGGGCCUGCAGCGCAGGGCCCCAACGCCAGGCGUGGCCUGAGGGUUGUAAUGACGCUCGAAC
rnacentral:misc_RNA from 1 species